AGGGAAAAUGCUGUUGGAAUCUUGUAGAAUGCUAGAAAAGGAGAUGAAUAGGGAGAGGGAUGUCAGGUUAUAAAGGAAUAGUGGGAGCAAGAUUAAAUCUUUGCAAUUGUUUCCAUUAUAACAAAAGAGAAAGGGAGACCAAUCAAGCUUGACACCUCCCCCAUGAGAUAGUCACAGAUUUGCCGUGGUUUCUUUGCCAAGGUAUGUAAUGAAUUAGAUCUGCAGAAGCCCAUAAGACAAAGGAAGAACGGAAAUGAGGAAAAUCCAAAGUGAUAGGAAGAAAAGAGGAGAGGUGGGGAGGAGGAGGAAACCAAGAAGGAAAGAGGGAGUUGGCUAAACAUACUCAUUUAAUCUCAAUAAAUAAAGGGAAAAUUACAGCUGGGUUACCCAACCUAUGCAACAUAGAGGAAUUAGGUCCUUGACCUUCUAUGUGUUGUACUUGGGUUCUCAACAAUUCAAUUUUGUAGCACUUGCCAAUUGGAUCUCCAGUGGAUGGAUUCUAUCUGUUUCGCAGUUAAAAAUGUCACGGGUUGUCCAAUUUUAUGUCGUUUCUAUCUUGUAUUAAUUGAUAAUACAUUUCUUGCGUAUUAUCCAUGAUUAAUAAAAUAUUUGAUUGCCU
rnacentral:lncRNA from 1 species